UACGGGGGGGGCAAGCGUUGUUCGGAAUUACUGGGCGUAAAGGGCUCGUAGGUGGCCAACUAAGUCGGACGUGAAAUCCCUCGGCUUAACCGGGGAACUGCGUCUGAUACUGGAUGGCUUGAGUUCGGGAGAGGGAUGCGGAAUUCCAGGUGUAGCGGUGAAAUGCGUAGAUAUCUGGAGGAACACCGGUGGCGAAGGCGGCAUCCUGGACCGACACUGACGCUGAGGCGCGAAAGCCAGGGGAGCAAACGGG
rnacentral:rRNA from 1 species